CAGUAGGACGCACAGUUUAUACCGUAGCUUGCUACACCAUAGACUGUGAGUUGCCAUCGGGUGAGUAACGCGUAGGUAACCUACCUAUUAGAGGGGGAUAACUAUUGGAAACGAUAGCUAAUACCGCAUAACAGUAUGUAACACAUGUUAGAUGCUUGAAAGAUGCAAUUGCAUCGCUAGUAGAUGGACCUGCGUUGUAUUAGCUAGUAGGUAGGGUAAUGGCCUACCUAGGCAACGAUACAUAGCCGACCUGAGAGGGUGAUCGGCCACACUGGGACUGAGACACGGCCCAGACUCCUACGGGAGGCAGCAGUAGGGAAUCUUCGGCAAUGGGGGGAACCCUGACCGAGCAACGCCGCGUGAGUGAAGAAGGUUUUCGGAUCGUAAAGCUCUGUUGUUGAGGAAGAACGAGUGUGAGAAUGGAAAGUUCAUGCUGUGACGGUACUUAACCAGAAAGGGACGGCUAACUACGUGCCAGCAGCCGCGGUAAUACGUAGGUCCCGAGCGUUGUCCGGAUUUAUUGGGCGUAAAGCGAGCGCAGGCGGUUAGAAAAGUCUGAAGUGAAAGGCAGUGGCUCAACCAUUGUAGGCUUUGGAAACUGUUUAACUUGAGUGCAGAAGGGGAGAGUGGAAUUCCAUGUGUAGCGGUGAAAUGCGUAGAUAUAUGGAGGAACACCGGUGGCGAAAGCGGCUCUCUGGUCUGUAACUGACGCUGAGGCUCGAAAGCGUGGGGAGCGAACAGGAUUAGAUACCC
rnacentral:rRNA from 1 species